rnacentral:rRNA from 1 species
UACGUAGGGUGCGAGCGUUGUCCGGAAUUACUGGGCGUAAAGAGCUCGUAGGUGGUUUGUCGCGUUGUCCGUGAAAACUCACAACUCAAUUGUGGGCGUGCGGGCGAUACGGGCAGACUGGAGUACUGCAGGGGAGACUGGAAUUCCUGGUGUAGCGGUGGAAUGCGCAGAUAUCAGGAGGAACACCGGUGGCGAAGGCAGGUCUCUGGGCUGUAACUGACGCUGAGGAGCGAAAGCAUGGGGAGCGAACAGG